CGCGGCCGCCGCCUGCACCUGCGAGACCGCUUACGUAAACUGCGUCCCGCCCACCUCGCGGCGCCUGGUUCGGGCGGCGGCCGCACCUGAGCCCCGCUGCGCCCGCAACGUAAGCGCUGCUGAGCGGAGGCCAGCUGCUGGAAAGAGGGAAAGGCGCGGAAACUUCGUAACUGCGGAAUCUGAGAGCAGCUCCCGGCCGCAAUAACGAGCCGGUCUUCCCAGGCUCCACGCCCGGGUGCGGGACGCUUCCCCAGCCUCAGCCUCUACGCAAACGGAAUCUCCAGGCCAUUCAUGUGCAUGCUACAGCUUGAGAAGCACUGGCCCAAAUGCAACAAGGACAGACCAAUCAAAUGGAGCCUCCAAUUCCAAGGGUAUGGUAGACAAGUGCUGAACCACUGAGCACUAUGUACAUCUCUCAAGCCCCUCCCUUUCUCUCCGUCUCCUCUGGCAUUGUCUUGGUCUACCCCUGAGAAAGCGUGCCCUCGGCUCCUCUCAUUCUGAUAUUGGCUAAUUGUUGUGCACUCCCUGGGAAUUUUCCAGAAGACCAGAUAGGCAAGAUCAAACAAGCAACUCAGAAAGGUGAAGCUGCUCAGUGACUCUCUGAAACAUUUAAGGGAAAACAUUGCCAGGUCCUCUGGUCCUGCCAACCCCUGGACACUGUUCUCCUUUGCAAAGAUCACUUCUUCAAAACAGGUCACAGAAAUUGCCCUUGCUGAGUUCCAACGAGUUUGAGUUUUUUUAAAAAUAGCUCGUUCUUCAAGUGCAAAAAAUAACAUCUGAGACAUUUGUUUAAGUGUGAAACACACCUUUGUCAUGACUCAGUACAUGCUGAACGGAAGUUUAUUAAACUUUCCAAGAGGAAAAAAUCCUCUUGAAGUAAGGAAGCCUGAGAGAAGGGACCAAGAAGAAAAGACACAGGUGGAGCCGAGAGCAGAGCAGCCAGCAAAUCUUGUCUCUGAGGUGCUCACAUGCUCUCCUUCCACCCCGGAUAACCUUGUCCUCCAGCAAGCAGGGUGUGAACUGAUCCUGCCUGAGCCUCGUGCCAAUGUCACGCCUGUGCAGCCUUCUCUGACUUCAGGCUCUUGCUCAUGUCCUCUCUCUCCUCAAAACACUCUGUAGGCCACACAUUUGUGCUUGGCACACUGUACUGAAAUUGUCAGUUUACAGGUCUGCCUCUCAAACAGUCAGGGACACUAGGUGAGUCAUCUGCGAACCCCUCUCCUGGCACAGAGCGGGUGCUAGGAGAGCAUGCUGAUAAGAGAUGGGUCUCCAUGCUUUAAUCCUAGAAGUGACUGCAUCAUCCUGAGCUUGGCCUCCAUUUACAGACAAUGGGAGCUCUGUUGCCACUGCUACCUAAGGCUGCUACCCUGUCCCCUGAGUCCAGCCCAUAAUUCCUGCAGUUAUCCGUCCUCAUCCUGUAUCAUUGGUAAUUUUAUCUAUCCUUUUUUCUUUUAUUAUUUAUUUAUUAAGAAGAUUAAACCUAGGCAAGUACUCUACCACUAAGCUGUAUCUGUAAUCCAUAAUUUUCUCUUUCUAGUAAAUUAUUUCUGCCAGUGUACAAAUACUCUCUUCUCCUUCCCAUCUCUUGAGUGCUGGGAUUACAGGAAUAUGCUGCCAUGCCCAGUUUAUGUAAUAUUGGAUUAAACCCAGGGUUUAUCAUGCAUGUUAAGCAAGUGCCCAACCAACUAACUGAGCUACAUCCCCAACCCAAAUCGUUCUGUGCUUGCUUGCUUGCUUGCUUGCUUUUUUUCUUUCUUUCGUUCAUUCGUUCUUUCUU